AAGACCGGGCGGGCGACGGGUACGUCCAAGUUGCUGGCCGCCCAGGUCGUGAAGUUCAGCCCAAUCCGCAGUGACCUGGAAUCUUUGUUGAAUGAGAUGCUGGCCGCCACAAAUGGGGAUGAUGCCUCAUCCAAAGUUGCCAAGAAGACCGGAAAGCGGAAAGGAAGUACCCUUGAGGACCGCGUACUACAGCGGCUGAGAUUGGAGUUUC